rnacentral:siRNA from 1 species
GGACGUUCCUAGAUGUUUGCC